GACGAACGCUGGCGGCGUGCUUAACACAUGCAAGUCGAACGGAAAGGCCCUGCUUUUGUGGGGUGCUCGAGUGGCGAACGGGUGAGUAACACGGGAGUAACCUGCCCUUGACUUUGGGAUAACUUCAGGAAACUGGGGCUAAUACCGGAUAGGAGCUCCUGCUGCAUGGUGGGGGUUGGAAAGUUUCGGCGGUUGGGGAUGGACUCGCGGCUUAUGAGCUUGUGGGUGGGGUAGUGGCUUACCAAGGCUUUGACGGGUAGCCGGCCUGGGAGGGUGACCGGCCACAUUGGGCCUGAGAUACGGCCCAGACUCCUACGGGAGGCAACAGUGGAGAGUAUUGCACAGUGGGCGGGAGCCAGAUGCGACAGCGCCGCGUGCGGGAUGCCGGCCUUCUGGUUGUAAACCGCUUUCGCCUGUGACGAAGCGUGAGUGACGGUACUGGGUAAAGAAGCACCGGCUAACUACGUG
rnacentral:rRNA from 1 species